AAUUCUCAACCUUCCCAAUUUUGGGAUGGCUUGGACUUUGGAGGUUUUUGCUGGCUUCUUUAGAGAAGCCGGCUCCUCUUAAAUAAAUUAGUGGGGUCCUCUUCACCGAUCCCUCGACGUGAUAAGAUUUUCUACGUCCGAGGCCUUGGUCUCUGAGACCUGCUUCUAAUAUACCGUCUCUCCUUAGAGAUGUGAUUUUGAACC
rnacentral:misc_RNA from 1 species